UGCUGGGGCUAGCUUGAGCUAGUUAAGGAUUGUAUUCCUAGAAUAUUGCUAUUUUUAUUAUUGAAUGGAACUUGGCCAUUAGUGGCCUUUCAAUCUCUAUGUUUCCCUUUUCUAUUCUACUCCAUUGCUUUCUAUUCUUUUUUUGGAUUUUUGCUCCUAACUCUAACAUUUGGUCUGACUCGCCGAAUCUCAAACACAUGACCAAAACAAUGGAGGGAAGAGUUGAAGAGAUAGAGAAGAGCACGACUAGCAUGGGGGAAGUUUUAGCCGUCAUGAAAGUGGAGCAGGAGAAGCGCAUGGCCAAUUUCCAGUUAGAGAAAGAGCAACAUUUUACAAGGUUGGAGUCCUUACUUAUCAAUCCCUAUAGUAAGACAACGGUAGUGGAAGGAGAUUGUUCAAGUAACAGAUCUACCACCCCAACAGUGGUGCCUCCACCUGUUAUACCUACAGUUGAAGAUAAUUCCAUGGCAAUGAAAAAGGUAGAACUCCCAGACUUUGAUGGCACCGAUCCAACUGGUUGGCUCCUGAGAGUGGAACAGUAUUUCACUAUCAAUUCUACCAAGGAGGAGAUGAAGGUUCCCUUAGCCAUGGUUUGUAUGGAAGAACAUGCUUUGCAUUGGAUGCGGUGGUAGCGUUUGCGCAAUCCUAAUCUCACAUGGGUUCAACUCACAGAUGAAUUAAUGCAUCGGUAUGGGGGAGAUAUGAGGACUAAUAUGUUUGAACGCCUAUCUACCUUACGUCAAGAAGAAUCUGUAGAUGAUUUUUGUUAUGGAAAGUCAA
rnacentral:misc_RNA from 1 species